rnacentral:misc_RNA from 1 species
GAUGAAGAACGUAGCGAAAUGCGAUACUUGGUGUGAAUUGCAGAAUCCCGUGAACCAUCGAGUCUUUGAACGCAAGUUGCGCCCGAAGCCACUAGGCCGAGGGCACGCCUGCCUGGGCGUCACACGUCGUUGCCCCCCACCAUCUACUCCUUCGGGAUUGCGGGGGGCGGAUGAUGGCCUCCCGUGCGCCUAGCCGCGCGGUUGGCAUAAAUACCAAGUCCUCGGCGACGCACGCCACGACAAUCGGUGGUUGCGAAACCUCGGUUGCCCGUCGUGUGCGUUCGUCGCGCAUCGAGGGCUCGAAAAAAUGCUCGGCUCCGGCUCGGCUUUCAACGCGACCCCAGGUCAGGCGGGGUUACCCGCUGAAUUUAAGCAUAUCAAUAAGGAGGA